rnacentral:rRNA from 1 species
UCUCCGGCCAUCCUUGGGGAGAGUCUGUCUGGCAUUAAGUUGUCGGGCAGAGGAUCCUCAUCGAUUACUGUGAAAAAAUUAGAGUGUUCAAAGCAGGAUUAUGCCGUUGAAUAUAUUAGCAUGGAAUAAUAAGAUAGGACUUUGGUACUAUUUUGUUGGUUUGCGCACCAAAGUAAUGAUUAAUAGGGACAGUUGGGGGUAUUCGUAUUCCGUUGUCAGAGGUGAAAUUCUUGGAUUUACGGAAGACGAACUACUGCGAAAGCAUUUACCAAGGAUGUUUUCAUUAAUCAAGAACGAAAGAUAGGGGAUCGAAGAUGAUCAGAUACCAUCGUAGUCUUAACCAUAAACUAUGCCGACUCGGGAUUGGCGGGCGUUUCUUUUUUGACCCCGUCAGCACCGUAUGUGAAAACAAAGUCUUUGGGCUCCGGGGGGAGUAUGGUCGCAAGGCUGAAACUUAAACAAAUUGACGGAAGGGCACCACCAGGAGUGGAACCUGCGGCUUAAUUUGACUCAACACGGUAAAACUUACCAGGGCCAGACA